rnacentral:rRNA from 1 species
UACGUAGGGGGCAAGCGUUGUCCGGAAUCAUCGGGCGUAAAGAGCUCGUAGGUGGCUUGUUGCGUCUGCCGUGAAAGCCCGUGGCUUAACUACGGGUCUGCGGUGGAUACGGGCAGGCUAGAGGCUGGUAGGGGCAAGCGGAAUUCCUGGUGUAGCGGUGAAAUGCGCAGAUAUCAGGAGGAACACCGGUGGCGAAGGCGGCUUGCUGGGCCAGUUCUGACGCUGAGGAGCGAAAGCGUGGGGAGCGAACAGG